rnacentral:rRNA from 1 species
UACGUAGGGUGCGAGCGUUGUCCGGAAUUAUUGGGCGUAAAGGGCUCGUAGGCGGUCUGUCACGUCGGGAGUGAAAACUCGGGGCUUAACCCCGAGCCUGCUUCCGAUACGGGCAGACUAGAGGUAUGCAGGGGAGAACGGAAUUCCUGGUGUAGCGGUGAAAUGCGCAGAUAUCAGGAGGAACACCGGUGGCGAAGGCGGGUCUCUGGGCCGAUACUGACGCUGAGGAGCGAAAGCGUGGGGAGCAAACAGG